rnacentral:rRNA from 1 species
UACGUAGGGGGCAAGCGUUGGUCCGGAAUCAUUGGGCGUAAAGAGCGUGUAGGCGGUUCAGUAAGUCUGCUGUGAAAGUCCAAGGCUCAACCUUGGGAUGCCGGUGGAUACUGCUGAGCUAGAGUACGGAAGAGGCGAGUGGAAUUCCCGGUGUAGCGGUGAAAUGCGCAGAUAUCGGGAGGAACACCUAUUGCGAAGGCAGCUCGCUGGGACGUCACUGACGCUGAGACGCGAAAGCGUGGGGAGCAAACAGG